rnacentral:misc_RNA from 1 species
GGAAUAUUUUGUGGGGAUUGCUCUAAAGGGAGGAGCUUGCUGCCUGUAAAAUUUCGUGUUGCAGAUCCACAACGAGUGUGUGAUGUAUGUAAUGUGCGGCUUGAAUCUGUGCAACCAUAUUUAAUGGAUAAAGUGAGUAAUGCUGCGCAGCUACCAACCCAUGACCUGACGGACCUCAGUACAUUGAGGUCAUGGUUAAACUUCCCUUGGGGACAGUCAAUGGAACAUGAGAUUUAUA